CAAAUUGAAACCAUUUCAUCUUUUUCUCUCUACUCAGGAGAAGAGUGUACCCCCACCUGGCUACACCCUUCUGUCAGGGAGUUGUAGAGACCAAUAAAGUCCCCUCUAAACCUCCCUUUCUCCAGGUUAAACAACUCCAGCUUCCUCAGCUGCUCCUCAAAAGACUUGUGCUCCAGCCUCUUCACCAGCUGUCACUCUUCCCUGGGCACACCUCAACACACAAAACAAUUCUCAGCUUAAACAGAGCAUUGGACUGGCUCAGAAACUCACCCUUAUUCCACUAUAUUGGUAGUAAAAGCAGCAUUUCUCAUUUCUUUCUGAACUGGCUUUCAUUCUUGUAACAGUUCUGCACAACUUCCAAGUCCAUUAUUUUUAUUAAAUGAAAAGCUUGUAAUAAUAUAUGGCAUUAAAAGAUUGGGGGAAAAACAAUAAAACAAUUAUAUGGAUCGGAGUCUGUCAUGGCCU